rnacentral:rRNA from 1 species
GACGAACGCUGGCGGCGUGCUUAACACAUGCAAGUCGAACGAAGUGGGAACGGGUGAGUAAUACGUGGGUAACCUCCCUCCUUUUUGGGAUAAGCCUUGGAAACGGGGUCUAAACCGAAUAGAGGGGCUCGCGGCCUAUCGGCUUGUUGUUGGGGUGAUGGCCUACCAAGGCGGGGAAGGGUAGCCUGCCGGAGAGGGUGACCGGCCACAUUGGGACUGAGAUACGGCCCAGACUCCUACGGGAGGCAGCAAGGGGGAAUCUUCCGCAAUGGACGGAAGUCUGACGGAGCAACGCCGCGUGAGUGAUGACGGCCUUCGGGUUGUAAAGCUCUGUUAAUCGGGACGCGGUACCGAAAUAGAAAGCCACGGCUAACUACGUGCCAGCAGCCGCGGUAAUUC